rnacentral:rRNA from 1 species
UACGUAUGGUGCAAGCGUUAUCCGGAUUUACUGGGUGUAAAGGGAGCGCAGGCGGCACGGCAAGCCUGAUGUGAAAGCCCGCGGCCCAACCGCGGGACUGCAUUGGGAACUACCGGGCUGGAGUGCAGGAGAGGUAGGCGGAAUUCCUAGUGUAGCGGUGAAAUGCGUAGAUAUUAGGAGGAACACCAGUGGCGAAGGCGGCCUACUGGACGGUGACUGACGCUGAGGCUCGAAAGCGUGGGGAGCAAACAGG